CCUACGGGUGGCAGCAGUCGAGAAUCAUUCACAAUGGGGGAAACCCUGAUGGUGCGACGCCGCGUGGGGGAAUGAAGGUCUUCGGAUUGUAAACCCCUUUCAUGUGGGAGCAAAUUAAAAAGAUAGUACCACAAGAGGAAGAGACGGCUAACUCUGUGCCAGCAGCCGCGGUAAUACAGAGGUCUCAAGCGUUGUUCGGAAUCACUGGGCGUAAAGCGUGCGUAGGCUGUUUCGUAAGUCGUGUGUGAAAGGCGCGGGCUCAACCCGCGGUCGGCACAUGAUACUGCGAGACUAGAGUACUGGAGGGGGAACUGGAAGUCUCGGUGUAGCAGUGAAAUGCGUAGAUAUCGAGAGGAACACUCGUGGCGAAGGCGGGUGCCUGGACAUUAACUGACGCUGAGGCACGAAGGCCAGGGGAGCGAAAGGGAUUAGAUACCCCGGUAGUC
rnacentral:rRNA from 1 species